rnacentral:lncRNA from 1 species
AGACAUAGCCAUCUCACGAAGAUGACUCUCUUACAUCGGACACAAGGAUAAUAGCGCUAUAAAAGAAAUCCGAAAUUUUGGUCCAGCACUUCCGGUCUCCGGAGAGAUGCUCGAUUCGUAUCAAACAAGUCGUAUAAGCCGAGAACCUAUCGCGGACUUUAAAUCGAUACGAAUCAGGAAGAAAUCGCAACAGGAAAAACGAUAGCCGGCUAGUCACUGCACAAUCCUUAAACCGAAAGUAAACCUAGGUCUUGCCCUAAACCCAGCGCACUGGUCUCUAACAUCUCAAGGCAUGAUAUCGAAAGAUAAGAGAUUCCUAAACCAUGCCUCUAUGUUUAUAUUUGACAUCUUCAGCGCCUCCGCAGAGCUCACGUCUCGCGGAAGAACUCUCGAAACAGAUCUCGAAUGAAACAUCUCACAAUCGAAGAAGGAUAUGAGACGACAACUCAUCACCUUCCUCCGCAAAGCCACACACGGCCAGUCCCGAAAUACAAAACAAGGCCAUUCAAGGCCGAAACAUAAAAACAUAAAAAAAUCUCUCGCAAGAGAUCUAACCCAAGUCAGCCUCAGAACUCACGCCCCCUCUUUACCCAACGCCUCAUCCGAGCCUGGAGCCGCAUCACCUCCGUUUUCUCCAACCGUCGGGUCUUUCCCCUCUGGGUCUUCUGAACACGUCGGAAGGAAGCAUACGGAUUUCAG